UCGCCCUCCACUGCAUUGCCUCUUCCCUCCUCCUCUUCCCUUCCUCAUCCACUCCAUCCUCAGCAGACUGCCCCUUUUUCCUGUACAGCGAAACGCAGCCCGCGCCACCAUCUUAGAGCAACGCUGGCAUGAAAUGGAAGUGGGAAGACCAGUCAGUGCAGAUAAACGUGAUUGGUGCAGGGGGAUCCAGAAUGGACAGAGCACACAAAAGGAGGACGGUGGGACUCCUCCUUCAUUCGCUGCCUUUUAGCUGGAGUAAACACGGAGGAUGGCGAUGCUGUCUGCAUGCGAGCCGGCAGUGAUUCCUGCCAUAACUGUGGAACGCUGUGUAUGUCUCCUUGAUGCAUCGCUCGAACCAACACUCAGCCUGGACUGCUUGUGAAUGACUUUUGGUGUUUUAACUGAGCAAACAUCAUCGUGGACUCCAAUCAUGGAAACCUGUGGGACUCGUUGGAAAAUAAGCAGCCCGAAGGCUGGAGGAACUGCUUGAUAAUUGUGACUCUUAAUUCUUUUAUUUGUAGAUGUGGCACUGAAUUUUGUAAUUAUUAUCCUAUAUUUGAUUGUAAAAAAAUAUUGUUUAGACAUGAAGGAAUAUAAUCUGUCCUCAGCUGUCAUAGGCUCCACUUAAUGUAGGUUGUAUUUGAUGAUUUGUAGCCCAUAUUUUGCUCAUUUUCUCUUUUGUUAUAGUUGCUAGGACUCAAAAGACAUGUGAAUGUGAGACCCACGGCAGCAGUGAAUAAUACUGCACUGCGAUUGGACAGCUCCGUGUGUCAGCUGACACAAUGGCGAAGGAGUGAGCUGUCGUCUUUAUACUCUAUGCAACUGUUCUCUUUUUUUCCUUUCUUUAUUGUUUAGGGGAAAAUAACCUUUUCAUAUUUAUUUUGGAUUAUGUUUUGAGCCAUCAGUUUACAGAAAUUCCUUCAGACAUCAUCAAGAGAAAUGGUUUAUGAGGUGCUGACGUUCCAGUUAUUAAUAUAGUGAAACAGAAAUUACAGUCAGGAUGUGUGUGUGAGUGUGUGACAGAUGACAGGAUACAGCAUUUUCAUCAGUGGAUGGAUUGAAUCUCAUAUUUGCAGCUUUCGACUGUGCAGCCAUGAGCCAGAGUCUGAGUAAAUGUGGACUCAAGCAUUUAAUAUUCCUGAUGGUUGGAGUGUGUUUGAUCAGCAGGAAGUAGCUCUGCGUGUAUACAGAACAUGCCACACUAUUAAAAGCUGCUCCCUAUAGCAGUCGUUGAGGCACAGCAGUUUGGCACAUAAUAGUUACCUGCUUUAGUGUAAUGAUACAUCUUUGGGUGAGACAUGACAAAUACAUUGGCUUCAAACACUGCCUUAAUUUCCUGUUCUUGACAUUAACACACAGCGACACACACGCCCGCACACACACAUGCACCCAAAUGCAAUAAGGCAAGUACUAUCAGGGCCUAAUUCAUUCUAUAUUAAUUUUCGGGAAGUGGCAAAUUUUUUAUUACGAUUGAUAAUCUAUGCAAAUCUUUUAAAUAUUACUUUAGACAAUCUAUGUCUAUGCAGCGCUUUUGCAAUUGAUUCAAGGGAGACUAUCUUGGCCUAAUUUAGAAAAUGUAUUCUUUUGAUAAUCAUGCACAUCCCAGUGCUCAAGACAAUUACUUAUCUGCCUGGAUAAGCUUGAAAUUAUGUUUUUAAUCUCUAGCAAAAAAAAGUCACUCUUCUGAAAUCAGUCCAGAGGCUUGAAAACCAUGAAUUGUGGUCUAAAAUAAUUAAAUCAGUUGCACUAAAUCUCCCUUUUCCUUAAAUGUAGAUCAAAUAUAUCUAUUUAGCUUUGAAUAGCAUACUGUUUAUAUAAGCAACAAUGUUUGUAUUAUGCAAUCUCAUCUUUGUGAAUGAGUGUUCACCACACGUGCCUUUGUAUGGAAAACUGUUGAAAUAGUAAUAAAGGUUUACAAUGAAAA